rnacentral:rRNA from 1 species
UCAUUCUACAUAGUUCUGCAUUGCAGAGGGUGUAUGUGAAGUCCUAUACUACUAUUUAAGAAGCGUCAAGGUUCACGGGCGAGGUGUUUGUU